UCCAUCACCCAGACACCCCAUCCCUCCCACCCGCCUCCCCUCCAGCAACCCUCAGUUCCCUGAGAUUGAGAGUGUCUCAUGCCUUGUCUCCUUCGCUGGUUUCAUCUAGUUUCAUUUUCCCCUCCCUUCCCCUAUGCUCCUUUGUCUUUCUCAAAUUCCUCAUAUCGGUGAAGUCAUGUGAUAGUUGUCUAGUAAGAGAGCUUUUAAGCAUUGAGCAGUCCACAUUGGAGCACCAGUAGAUCAGGAUAUAAUCUUGAGACGUAUUAUUUAGGCCAUUCAUUAGAUUACUUAAAAAAUCAAAGAAAUAUCUCUGUUUAGACUGCUCACCGCACUCAUUCCUUCUCUGGUACGUAUGUACUGUUUGUCAAGUACUUGGGAAAUAUAAAUAAGGUAUGUCCAUAUCUAGUGGUACAGAAAAAGAAGCAGACAGUUAGCAAAUGGCUUUAAUAAGUAACAAGUGUUUAUGUAUCAUGUUAUGGCAACACUAGAGUCGGAAGUUGUUAACUUUACCUGGGUUAGUAAGUAUUGUGUGAAUUAUAGGAUAUUCUAAUAUACUUUCUUCCAUUGGGAGUAUAACCUCUAAGGAAGACCGGAUGGAGAAUAACCACUAAGGAAGCUGG